GAUGAACGCUGGCGGCGUGCCUAAUACAUGCAAGUCGAGCGAACGGACGAGAAGCUUGCUUCUCUGAUGUUAGCGGCGGACGGGUGAGUAACACGUGGAAACCUACCUAUAAGACUGGGAUAACUUCGGGAAACCGGAGCUAAUACCGGAUGAUAUUUUGAACCGCAUGGUUCAAAAGUGAAAGACGGUCUUGCUGUCACUUAUAGAUGGAUCCGCGCUGCAUUAGCUAGUUGGUAAGGUAACGGCUUACCAAGGCAACGAUGCAUAGCCGACCUGAGAGGGUGAUCGGCCACACUGGAACUGAGACACGGUCCAGACUCCUACGGGAGGCAGCAGUAGGGAAUCUUCCGCAAUGGGCGAAAGCCUGACGGAGCAACGCCGCGUGAGUGAUGAAGGUCUUCGGAUCGUAAAACUCUGUUAUUAGGGAAGAACAUAUGUGUAAGUAACUGUGCACAUCUUGACGGUACCUAAUCAGAAAGCCACGGCUAACUACGUG
rnacentral:rRNA from 1 species